rnacentral:rRNA from 1 species
UACGGGGGGGGCAAGCGUUGUUCGGAAUUACUGGGCGUAAAGGGCUCGUAGGCGGCCAACUAAGUCGGAUGUGAAAUCCCCAGGCUCAACUUGGGAACUGCAUCCGAUACUGGAUGGCUUGAAUCCGGGAGAGGGAUGCAGAAUUCCAGGUGUAGCGGUGAAAUGCGUAGAUAUCUGGAGGAAUACCGGUGGCGAAGGCGGCAUCCUGGACCGGCAUUGACGCUGAUGAGCGAAAGCUAGGGGAGCAAACGGG